rnacentral:rRNA from 1 species
GUGGACGCCAGUCUGCGCGGAGCCAUCCUUGAAAUACCACCCUUUAACGUUUGAUGUUCUAACCCGGGUCCGUAAUCCGGAUCGGGGACCGUGUCUGGUGGGUAGUUUGACUGGGGCGGUCUCCUCCCAAAGAGUAACGGAGGAGCACGAAGGUUGGCUAAGCAUGGUCGGACAUCAUGCGGUUAGUGCAAAGGCAUAAGCCAGCUUGACUGCGAGAGUGACGGCUCGAGCAGGUACGAAAGUAGGUCUUAGUGAUCCGGUGGUUCUGAAUGGAAGGGCCAUCGCUCAACGGAUAAAAGGUACUCCGGGGAUAACAGGCUGAUACCGCCCAAGAGUUCAUAUCGACGGCGGUGUUUGGCACCUCGAUGUCGGCUCAUCACAUCCUGGGGCUGAAGUAGGUCCCAAGGGUAUGGCUGUUCGCCAUUUAAAGUGGUACGCGAGCUGGGUUUAGAACGUCGUGAGACAGUUCGGUCCCUAUCUGCCGUGGGCGCUGGAAGAUUGAGAGGGGUUGCUCCUAGUACGAGAGGACCGGAGUGAACGCACCACUGGUGUACGGGUUGUGAUGCCAAUUGCAUUGCCCGGUAGCUAAGUGCGGAAGAGAUAACCGCUGAAAGCAUCUAAGCGGGAAACUUGCCUCGAGAUGAGUCUUCCCUGAUUCCCAGAGAAUCCUGAAGGAACGUUUGAGACUAAGACGUUGAUAGGCUGGGUGUGUAAGCGCAGCGAUGCGUUGAGCUGACCAGUACUAAUGAACCGAGAGGCUUAACCUG